rnacentral:rRNA from 1 species
UACAAUAGGUAAGCUAUUAAGAGCGAAUGGUGGAUGCCUAGGCUGUAAGAGGCGAUGAAGGACGUACUAGACUGCGAUAAGUUGCGGGAGCUGUCAAGAAGCUUUGAUCCGCAAAUCCGAAUGGGGCAACCCAACUGACAGGAAUGUCAGUUACCCUGCGGGGAGCGAACCUGGUGAAGUGAAACAUCUCAGUAGCCAGAGGAAGAGAAAUCAAAUAGAGAUUCCGAUAGUAGCGGCGAGCGAACUUGGAAGAGGGCAAACCAGAUGCUUGCAUCUGGGGUUGUAGGACUGCGUUUAGAAUGAUGAUAGGUAGUAGAGUAACCUGGAAAGGUUAACCAUAGCGGGUGAUAGUCCCAUAUACGAAAUCUAGAUUCAUCUUAGCAGUAUCCUGAGUAGGGCGGAACACGUGGUAUUCUGUCUGAAGCCGGGAGGACCACCUCCCAACCCUAAAUACUACUUACAGACCGAUAGUGAACCAGUACCGUGAGGGAAAGGUGAAAAGAACCCCAGUGAGGGGAGUGAAAUAGAACCUGAAACCAUUUGCUUACAAUCAUUCAGAGCCCUAUGAUUUAUCAGGGUGAUGGACUGCCUUUUGCAUAAUGAGCCUGCGAGUUGUGGUAUCUGGCGAGGUUAAGAAAACUCGGAGCCGUAGCGAAAGCGAGUCUUAAUAGGGCGAAUUAGUCAGAUGCUGCAGACCCGAAGCGAAGUGAUCUAUCCAUGAGCAGGUUGAAGCUGGUGUAAGAGCUAGUGGAGGACCGAACUCAUUGACGUUGAAAAGUCUCGGGAUGACUUGUGGAUAGGGGUGAAAGGCCAAUCAAACUUCGUGAUAGCUGGUUCUCUCCGAAAUAUAUUUAGGUAUAGCGUCAUGUUGUAGUAUACGGGGGUAGAGCACUGAUUGGGCUAGGGCCUAUACCAAGGUACCAAACCCUGUCAAACUCCGAAUACCGUAUAUGUAAUCAUGGCAGUCAGGCGGCGGGUGAUAAAAUGCGUCGUCAAGAGGGGAACAACCCAGACUACCAGCUAAGGUCCCAAAGUGAUAACUCAGUGGAAAACGAUGUGGAGUUGCUCAAACAACCAGGAGGUUGGCUUAGAAGCAGCCAUCCUUUAAAGAAAGCGUAACAGCUCACUGGUCUAGCGAUUCUGCGCGGAAAAUAUAACGGGGCUAAAGUUAUCCACCGAAGCUGUAGAUUCUAUUUUUAAUAGAGUGGUAGGAGAGCGUUCUAGUCAGCAUUGAAGGUGUACCGGUAAGGAGCGCUGGAGCGGCUAGAAGUGAGUAUGCAGGCAUGAGUAGCGAUAAAACGGGUGAGAAUCCCGUUCGCCGAAAACCCAAGGUUUCCUACGCGAUGUUCGUCAUCGUAGGGUUAGUCGGGACCUAAGUCGAGUCCGAAAGGGGUAGACGAUGGAAAGUUGGUUAAUAUUCCAACACCAAUUAUAGAGCGCGAUGGAAGGACGCUUAGGGCUAAACGAGGCAACUGAUGGAAUAGUUGUUCGAAGGGUGUAGAUUAGAUUACAGGCAAAUCCGUAAUCUUUUAUUCGAGACCUGACAGGCACUUGAUGCUCUUCGGAGUGGAUGGUGAAUCGUUGAUGCCGUCGAGCCAAGAAAAGUUUCUAAGUAUAUCUGUAAUUGCUCGUACCGUAAACCGACACAGGUGGGUGAGAUGAGUAUUCUAAGGCGCGUGGAAGAAACCUGGUUAAGGAACUCUGCAAAAUAGCACCGUAUCUUCGGUAUAAGGUGUGCCUCCUUCUGUAUAUGGACUUGCUCCAAAAGGCGGAAAAGGUUGCAACAAAGAGUCCCUCCCGACUGUUUACCAAAAACACAGCACUCUGCUAACUCGUAAGAGGAUGUAUAGGUGUGACGCCUGCCCGGUGCUGGAAGGUUAAUUGAUGUGGUUAGCGCAAGCGAAGCCAUUGAUCGAAGCCCCAGUAAACGGCGGCCGUAACUAUAACGGUCCUAAGGUAGCGAAAUUCCUUGUCGAUUAAAUAUCGACCUGCAUGAAUGGCGUAACGAGAUGGGAGCUGUCUCGACCAGGAAUCCAGUGAAAUUGUAGUGGAGGUGAAAAUUCCUCCUACCCGCGGCAAGACGGAAAGACCCCGUGGACCUUUACUAUAGCUUGACACUGCUGUUGGGAUAAAGAUGUGCAGGAUAGGUGGGAGGCUUUGAGAGUAUGACGCCAGUUGUACUUGAGCCAUUGUUGAGAUACCACUCUUCUUUAUUCUGAUAGCUAACUGGGACAUAUUAUCUAUGUUCAGGACAAUGUCUGGUGGGGUAGUUUGACUGGGGCGGUCGCCUCCUAAAAAGUAACGGAGGCUUACAAAGGUUGGCUCAGAACGGUUGGAAAUCGUUCGCAGAGUAUAAUGGUACAAGCCAGCUUGACUGUGAGACAUACACGUCGAGCAGAGACGAAAGUCGGUCAUAGUGAUCCGGUGGUUCUGUGUGGAAGGGCCAUCGCUCAAAAGGAUAAAAGGUACCCCGGGGAUAACAGGCUGAUCUCCCCCAAGAGCUCACAUCGACGGGGAGGUUUGGCACCUCGAUGUCGGCUCAUCGCAUCCUGGGGCUGGAGCAGGUCCCAAGGGUAUGGCUGUUCGCCAUUUAAAGCGGUACGCGAGCUGGGUUCAGAACGUCGUGAGACAGUUCGGUCCCUAUCUGCCGUGGGCGUAGGAAAGUUGAGGAGAGUUAACCCUAGUACGAGAGGACCGGUUGAACGAACCACUGGUGUACGGGUUGUUCUGCCAAGAGCAUCGCCCGGUAGCUAUGUUCGGAUGUGAUACCGCUGAAAGCAUCUAAGCGGGAAGCCACUCCAAGAUUAACUUUCCCUGAAGACCUCAUGAAGACUACAUGUUUUGAUAGGCUGGGUGUGUAAUGGGUGAGAGCCCUUUAGCUGACCAGUACUAAUAGGUCGUUUGGCUUACAUAU